UACGUAGGAUGCAAGCGUUGUCCGGAAUUAUUGGGCGUAAAGAGCUUGUAGGCGGUUUGUCGCGUCUGCUGUGAAAUUUCGGGGCUCAACCCCGAACUUGCAGUGGGUACGGGCAGACUAGAGUGUGGUAGGGGAGACUGGAAUUCCUGGUGUAGCGGUGAAAUGCGCAGAUAUCAGGAGGAACACCGAUGGCGAAGGCAGGUCUCUGGGCCAUAACUGACGCUGAGAAGCGAAAGCUAGGGGAGCGAACAGG
rnacentral:rRNA from 1 species